UGAGGAAUAUUGGGCAAUGCCCGCAAGGGUGACCCAGCAACGCCGCGUGGAGGAUGAAUGUCGUAAGAUUGUAAACUCCUGUUAGAGGGGAAGAAUAGUACCGGUUGGACCGGUAUAUGACUGUACCCUCAGAGAAAGCCCCGGCUAACUACGUGCCAGCAGCCGCGGUAAUACGUAGGGGGCAAGCGUUAAUCGGAAUUACUGGGCGUAAAGGGUGCGCAGGCGGUCUUGCAAGUCAGAUGUGAAAGCCCCGGGCUUAACCCGGGAAUUGCGUUUGAAACUACAAGGCUAGAGUGCAGCAGAGGGGAGUGGAAUUCCAUGUGUAGCAGUGAAAUGCGUAGAGAUGUGGAAGAACACCGAUGGCGAAGGCAGCUCCCUGGGUUGACACUGACGCUCAUGCACGAAAGCGUGGGGAGCAAACA
rnacentral:rRNA from 1 species